rnacentral:lncRNA from 1 species
AGUUCUCAAGUUAAUUAAAAAAACAAAUAAUGAGAAAUAAUAUACCAUAUGCACAUGUGUUUAUUUAUCUAUUCAUGUCUAUUUCCCUAAAAAAUUCAUUUUCAUUCAAGAACCCAAACAAUAUCCUUAAACUAAAUCUGGUCAGCUUUAGCAGAAUGACAUCUGGUAUACUGGCGGUAUAGAUUUGAUAUGCAUAUAGUAGGUGCUUAGUAAGUGCUUGUUGAGUAAAGGAACGAUGAUGUCCUAUCCAGUGUCUGUGUAAUGAGUUUCUGUGAAAUCCUCUGUAGUUUCCAGAGCAUUGCAUAUUUUCUAGAGUUUUCAUUGCAUACUUUAAAUGUUUAGAGUCAUAUGGUUUUGGCUACUUCUAGUUUUAAUGCAUCUAGUAAAGGCUGCAGAACUUGUUCAUUUUAGUUGAAUAUGUUAAAAUGCAGUGCGGGUGAGGGGGCCUAAGUUCAAUAUUUCAAAUUGUUUUGGCAAGACAAGCUCCUUUGCAUGCCAACCACCAGGCCACAAAGCUUCAUUGUUGUCCAGCUGAAUGAAUGCAUGGCUUUCAUUUGAAGGGAGGAAAAUACUUUCUAGAAAUUGAAGUUCCAGGAAAACAAUUGAUUGCAGCAAAUGUCAGAUGAAUUUGCCCACCAAAUAACACUGGCAGCUGUAUUAUGCCCACGAAUCCAAUAGCAAGCCACCUUCUUGCUGUUUUCAUAAUCCAUCUUUCUUAGUGAAUGGUUGAAAAUUCAAUACCUGGCUCUCCAGAACCCUGUCUGUUCAGCCUUUGGGACCUAGCUUAACAGAGCAUCUCAAACAUACUAAUAGUUCAUUUUCAUAUUAGCCAUUUAGAUCAGAAACCUGCCAAAUUGUAUCACUUCAAUAACAAAUUAUUGGUACUUUGAGCCAAGAAUGGUCUGGUAGUAAGGAUUCCUUAAAUGAUAGUUCAGUUGAAUUUCUGAUCAUUUAAAAAUAUAUCUGAUAGGCUAUGCUUCUGUCUACCUUGACAGCAAUGACAGGAGAAUGCUUUGUACAAAAUCCAAAAAACUGUUACGUAAAUAUUGUUAUAUAUAUAUUAUAUUGUCACUUUAUGUAAUAUGCUUAAAUUCUUGUUAAAAAUUUUAUUCUUCCUAUCCCUUUGUCUCUGACUUAUUCAUUGAAUGACUAAAAUGUGAAAAAAAUAGAAGUAUUCUAAAAA